rnacentral:rRNA from 1 species
GAUGAACGCUGGCGGCGUGCUUAACACAUUCAAGUCGAACGGAAAUGCCCAAGCUUGCUUGGGUACUCGAGUGGCGAACGUGUGAGUAACACGUGGGUGAUCUGCCCUGCACUUCGGGAUAAGCCUGGGAAACUGUGUCUAAUACCGGAUAGUACGAUGGUUUUUAUGCCAUUGUGGAAAGUUUUUUCUGUGUGGGAUGAGCUCGCGGCCUAUCAGCUUGUUGGUGGGGUAAUGGCCUACCAAGGCGUCGACGGGUAGCCGGCCUGAGAGGGUGUACGGCCACAUUGGGACUGAGAUACGGCCCAGACUCCUACGGGAGGCAGCAAUGGGGAAUAUUGCACAAUGGGCGCAAGCCUGAUGCAGCGACGCCGCGUGGGGGAUGACGGCAUUCGGGGUGUAAACUCCUUUCGCUAGGGACGAAGCGUUUUUGUGACGGUACCUGGAGAAGAAGCACCGGCUAACUACGUG